ACAGGCUUAUUUAUCAGUUCGUUUUCGAUAGAAUAGAGUUGAUAUCCUCUGUGAGUUUCUUUCUUGAAAAUGGAAACUUUUCACAGACUUAGAGCUAAAUUUCUAGCAUCAUCUACUUUCCAUACAAUGAAACGGCAUGAGAUUUCAGAUAUUCCAGGGAUUCAUCUUCCCUACUUAGUAUGCUUGCUUCAAACUGCUGGAUAUCACCUCACCAAAGUGGACUGCGUGAAUCCAAACGAAAUGAUUCGAAAAGGGACCAACAUCGUUUUGAGUUGUGGAUAUUCUGGUCAAAGAUGUUUUUUAAACUAUCCUGCAGAGAAUGACACCUGUAACUGCUUCAUCAAAGGGGAGAAUUCGAAGGAUUUUUUUCUGGAAGCUGUGUCUCGCGGAAAUAAGGAAGAGCGAUGGUUAGUGGACGAAAAUGCAUCCAAGUACUGCCUGCCGUUUGUAUCAGAUGACCUCAAAUUGUUGUGCAAAACGGUCAUUAUGGAACUAGUAUCAAUGAUAAAAGAAAAUUAUACAAAACUAAGUGGCUCAAAUGUGGAUACGAAACAAACACAAAACGUCAACAUUAUGAAUAAGAUGGAAAACACAUCCAGCACCACUAAACUGGUUUCGAGUGUGUCUGAGAGCACUCGUGAGUACAGAAGCUCGACAUUUGCGCAAUCAGAAAUUUCUAGAGAUUCAUCUAUGAAUGUGGAAAAAAGCAGCUUGGAGACCAAAACUGAAUAUAAAAAGGAAUCUUUCAAGAUGUCUACGGUUUGCAGCGAAGUUUCUGUUCAGUCCGAGUCUACAACCCAAAUUUCCAAUCCGGAACCAAAGUCUUCGAAACCAUCUCCUCUUCCAAUUAAAAACGUUCGAAAUGCUGGAAGCGAAAAAAAAAUUAGCAUGAUUCCCAAAACGAAACUCGGUGCCAAAACAAAAUCUGCCAUCAAUUUGAAUGUUCUUACCACAUCUAAAGGUCAGCAGUCACGGUUAUCCAUACCUAAUUCAAAAUCAACUUCAAAUUUGCCAACCCUGGUGCCAGUAACAGCAGCAAAUACACAAAUUCUCAGCUGAAAGUUCUCACUACAAAAGUGACAAGUUCCAUUGUAAAUGCGAAAAAUGUAUCUAUAGAAAGAAAUCCACAAAGUGUAACCAAGAAUGUCAGUAAUUCAGCAAUCCCAAAAACCACCAGUUUGAAAAACUCUACGCCGAAACCAGUAGUGAAAGGUUCAACUGCUGUGGCUUCCCAAAAUAAGAAAGUUACACCGAUUUCGAAACCAGGAACCUGUUCUUCCAAAAAAUAAAUAGUAGCAGUUUGGAAUUCUUAAAAAAAAUGUGAAAAAAUUGAAUAUUCUUACAUAAAUACUGGUACCAAAUAAAUAAGUUAAGUAGA
rnacentral:misc_RNA from 1 species